rnacentral:rRNA from 1 species
CACGUAGGGUGCGAGCGUUGUCCGGAAUUAUUGGGCGUAAAGAGCUCGUAGGCGGUGUGUCGCGUCGGCCGUGAAAACCUGCAGCUUAACUGUGGGCUUGCGGUCGAUACGGGCAUCACUGGAGUUCGGCAGGGGAGACUGGAAUUCCUGGUGUAGCGGUGAAAUGCGCAGAUAUCAGGAGGAACACCGGUGGCGAAGGCGGGUCUCUGGGCUGAAACUGACGCUCGAUGCACGAAAGCGUGGGGAGCAAACAGG